rnacentral:rRNA from 1 species
GACGAACGCUGGCGGCGUGCUUAACACAUGCAAGUCGAACGAAGAGCGAUGGAAGCUUGCUUCUAUCAAUCUUAGUGGCGAACGGGUGAGUAACGCGUAAUCAACCUGCCCUUCAGAGGGGGACAACAGUUGGAUACGACUGCUAAUACCGCAUACGAUCUAAUCUCGGCAUCGAGGAUAGAUGAAAGGUGGCCUCUACAUGUAAGCUAUCACUGAAGGAGGGGAUUGCGUCUGAUUAGCUAGUUGGAGGGGUAACGGCCCACCAAGGCGAUGAUCAGUAGCCGGUCUGAGAGGAUGAACGGCCACAUUGGGACUGAGACACGGCCCAGACUCCUACGGGAGGCAGCAGUGGGGAAUCUUCCGCAAUGGACGAAAGUCUGACGGAGCAACGCCGCGUGAGCGAUGACGGCCUUCGGGUUGUAAAGCUCUGUUAAUCGGGACGAAAGGCCUUCUUGCGAAUAGUGAGAAGGAUUGACGGUACCGGAAUAGAAAGCCACGGCUAACUACGUGC